CUACGGGUUGCUGCAGUGGGGAAUAUUGGACAAUGGGGGAUACCCUGAUCCAGCAAUGCCGCGUGUGUGAAGAAGGCCUGCGGGUUGUAAAGCACUUUCGGUUGGGAGGACUGCUUCUAGCACUAAUAUUGUUGGAAGUUGACGUUACCUUCAGAAGAAGCACCGGGUAACUCCGUGCCAGGCAGCCGCGGUAAUACGGAGGGUGCAAACGUUAAUCGGAAUUACUGGGCGUAAAGCGCGCGUAGGCGGCUAGAUCAGUCGGGUGUGAAAGCCCCGGGCUUAACCUGGGAACUGCAUCCGAUACUGUCUAGCUUGAGUACAGGAGAGGAGAGUGGAAUUCCACAUGUAGCGGUGAAAUGCGUAGAUAUGUGGAGGAACACCAAUGGCGAAGGCAGCUCUCUGGCCUGAUACUGACGCUGAGGUGCGAAAGCGUGGGGAGCAAACAGGAUUAGAUACCCCGGUAGUC
rnacentral:rRNA from 1 species